rnacentral:miRNA from 1 species
UGGGAGAGUUGGAUUGGAC